rnacentral:misc_RNA from 1 species
AGUCGUAACAAGGUCUCCGUUGGUGAACCAGCGGAGGGAUCAUUACCGAGUUGCAAAACUCCCAAACCCACUGUGAACCUGUACCACUGUUGCUUCGGCGGAACCGCCCCGGGCGCACCUCCUCACGGGGGCGUGCCCCGGAACCAGGCGCCCGCCGGGGGACCGAAACCUCUGUAUUUUUUACUUGAGUACUCUGAGUGUGAUUUACAAAAUCAAAAUUAAAACUUUCAACAACGGAUCUCUUGGCUCUAGCAUCGAUGAAGAACGCAGCGAAAUGCGAUAAGUAAUGCGAAUUGCAGAAUUCAGUGAAUCAUCGAAUCUUUGAACGCACAUUGCGCCCGCCAGUAUUCUGGCGGGCAUGCCUGUCUGAGCGUCGUUUCGACCCUCGCGCCCGGCUUCUGUCGGGGGCGGUGUUGGGGAUCGGCCACACCCUCCAGAGGGAGGCCGGCCCCUAAAUCCAGUGGCGACCACGCUGUAGCCUCCCCUGCGUAGUACUAAAACCACCUCGCAGGCGGAGAGCGGUGCGGCCCGCCGUAAAACCCCCCAACUUUUACAAGGUCGACCUCAGAUCAGGUAGGAAUACCCGCUGAACUUAAGCAUAUCAAUAAGCGGAGGA